CCCUGUAGAACCGAAUUUGUGU
rnacentral:miRNA from 3 species